GGAAGUAAAAGUCUUAACAAGGUCUCCGUUGGUGAACCAGCGGAGGGAUCAUUACAGGACUCGCAAGACUCCUACAACCCUGUGAACUUAACUAUAAGCACGUUGCUUCGGCGGGUGUCUCGGAGGGGGUUCUCCCUCCCCGAGACGCUAAACCCGCCGGCAGCCUACUAUACUCUGUCUCUUUGCGUUGGCAUCUCGAGUACAAUCAAACAAGUUAAAACUUUCAACAACGGAUCUCUUGGUUCUG
rnacentral:misc_RNA from 1 species